CUGCUGCCUCCCGUAGGAGUCUGGGCCGUGUCUCAGUCCCAGUGUGGGGGGCCUUCCUCUCAGAACCCCUACGCAUCGUCGCCACGGUGGGCCGUCACCCCGCCGUCUAGCUAAUGCGCCGCAUGCCCAUCCGCCACCGGAUCGCUCCUUUGGCCACCGGAGGAUGCCCUCCGGUGGCGUCACGGGGUAUUAGGCCGCGUUUCCGCGGGUUAUCCCCCUGUGGCGGCCAGGUUGCAUACGUGUUACUCACCCGUGCGCCGGUCGCCGGG
rnacentral:rRNA from 1 species